rnacentral:rRNA from 1 species
AGCAGCCGCGGUAAUUCCAGCUCCAAUAGCGUAUAUUAAAGUUGUUGCAGUUAAAAAAGCUCGUAGUUGAACUUUCGGGAUCAAAUUGUCGGUCGUGCCUCGGUACGCACUGGCAUUAUUGGUUCCUACCUUCUGGAGAACCGCGAUGUUAUUAAUUUGGUGUCGUGGGGAAUCAGGACUGUUACUUUGAAAAAAUUAGAGUGUUUAAAGCAGGCGCACGCUUGAAUACAUUAGCAUGGAAUAAUGAAAUAGGACGUUUGAUUCUAUUUUGUUGGUUUCUAGGAUCGACGUAAUGAUUAAUAGGGAUAGUUGGGGGCAUUAGUAUUCAAUUGUCAGAGGUGAAAUUCUUGGAUUUAUUGAAGACUAACUACUGCGAAAGCAUUUGCCAAGGAUGUUUUCAUUAAUCAAGAACGAAAGUUAGGGGAUCGAAGACGAUCAGAUACCGUCGUAGUCGUUAAACCAUAAACUAUAGCCGACUAGGGAUCGGAUGAUGUUAAUUUUUAAUGUACUCUA